AUGGCCUGGCUUGGUUUGGCCUGGCUUGGCCUGGCUUGGCCUGGCCUGGCCUGGCCUGGCUUGGCCUGGCUUGCUGAACCCGUCAGUGCCCUGCAAGGGGCAGGUGCUGCGUUGCCUGGAGUGAUGCAGAAGCUCAUCUUCCUCCUCCGUGCACUGACCCAGCCUCACCCGCUGCCCUCAGGAGCAUUUUCUCCUCGGUGGACGGCGCCAUGGCUGGUGGCCAGCUCUGUGCCAUUUCUGGGAGGACAAGGGGCUCAGCUGCAGAGGCAGGCAGGGCUGGCAGGGCCUGAUGGGCUGCUUGCACUGAGAGCACGAGAUAUGAUGGGAGUGAAUAUCAAGCUGUCAUCUCCGUCAUCCUGUGGCCAAGGUAACGGUGGGAGGAAAUUAAAUGCCUUUCGGUUGUCUCUGAGGGUAGUAAAGAAAGAGUUCAGGAGCCUUAUUAGACUUCAUUUCCAUUUCUCUCCAUGUUGAAGGAAUACUAAAUAACUUCAUCUUGGUGGAUUUGAAGUAUCUGUCAUUUGCUUAUCUGCAGGACAAGGCACAGUAUAGAGUAUUACAAGUUCAAAAUGGAAAAAUAAUCUUACUCAUUUUCUCAUUUACUUUAUUUUUCACUUUUUUUUCCCCAUACCCAUCAUCCUGCAAUUGUAAAUAACUUGGGCAGCUGAAAUACUGCUUCUCUCCAGUUUCACUGCCCUGAUUCCAGUCCCUGAGACUCCCUGUAGAAACCCAGACAUGAAAUGGCUCCCACAAGUUCUCAUGCUGGGCUCACAUUUCUCAAUUAGAAGUCUCCAGGGAAAAGUGCCUCGUAUUUCAUCUUCACUCUGGGCUCAGAAGAGUUUUUCUCCCGUGUGUUUUGGAUCUGUUCCUGUGAGUGGAGCAGCCUGAGGAGGGCCAGGCACAAAGCAAGUGCAGGGUGAGGUCUCCCAGUGACCAAAGCUGCCUUAAAUUGGCCCCUUGAGCCCUUCCCUGAGCUGCUGCACCCAGGAAGGCUCCGAGCCCUCGGGACUCCAGGAAUUGGACAGAAAGGGAAUAAUUGACCUGCAC
rnacentral:lncRNA from 1 species